CCCUUAGACGUUCUGGGCCGCACGCGCGCUACACUGACGAAGGCAACGAGCUUUCCUUUACCGAAAGGUACGGGUAAUCUUUUGAAACUUCGUCGUGCUGGGGAUAGAUCCUUGCAAUUUUUGAUCUUAAACGAGGAAUGCCUAGUAAGCGCAAGUCAUCAACUUGCGUUGAUUACGUCCCUGCCCUUUGUACACACCGCCCGUCGCUACUACCGAUUGAAUGGUUUAGUGAGGCCUUCGGAUCCGCGACUCGUUUGUGGAGAAGUUGGACAAACUCAGUCAUUUAGAGGAAGUAAAAGGCGUAACA
rnacentral:rRNA from 1 species